AUGGCCCAAACAAACCCCCGCCGCCGCCGGCCGUCCAUGGAGGAUCCAUGCCCGGUCCUCCCGGACGAAGUCAUCGAGGGCAUCUUCGCGCGGUUGCCGGCCAAGGCAGUGCACCGGUGCCGCUGCCUCUCUCGCGCCUGGGCCGCCACGCUCGCCUCGAGCGACUUCGCCGACCUCCACCUUCGCCUCGCCAACCGCCACGGCGGCCCAAGGAUCCUCUUCGUGGAGAACUCUCGCGGUCCGGAAUUGCAGGUGUGGUCGCCGGACAGCCAUGGUCGUAAGACUCUCAUGGAGCUCCCCUGUUCUCAUGAUGUUCACGGCCGCAACACAGACAACCUCCUCCCGCGCCUCGUCACGCAGCAGUGCCGCGGUCUCUUCAUUCUUCAAGCUGCAAGGACGCAGUGA
rnacentral:rRNA from 1 species